GCUCCAGUGAUCUAGUGGUUAGAGCAUCCGCCUCGGAUGCGAGAGAUCGUGGGUUCGAUCCCCGGUUGAGUCA